GACGAACGCUGGCGGCGUGCUUAACACAUGCAAGUCGAGCGGAAAGGCCACUUCGGUGGUACUCGAGCGGCGAACGGGUGAGUAACGCGUGAGUAAUCUGCCCCUGGCUUUGGGAUAGCCACCGGAAACGGUGGUUAAUACCGGAUACGACCACUUCUCGCAUGGGAUGGUGGUGGAAAGUUUUUUCGGCCAGGGAUGUGGCUCGCGGCCGAUCAGCUUGAUGGUGAGGUAAUGGCUCACCAUGGCUUCGGCGGGUAGCCGGCCUGAGAGGGUGACCGGGCACACUGGGACUGAGACACGGCCCAGACUCCUACGGGAGGCAGCAGUGGGGAAUAUUGGACAAUGGGCGGAAGCCUGAUCCAGCAACGCCGCGUGAGGGAUGACGGCCUUCGGGUUGUAAACCUCUUUCAGCAGGGACGAAGCGCAAGUGACGGUACCUGCAGAAGAAGCACCGGCCAACUACGUGCCAGCAGCCGCAGUAA
rnacentral:rRNA from 1 species